rnacentral:rRNA from 1 species
UUGAUCCUGGCUCAGGACGAACGCUGGCGGCGUGCCUAAUACAUGCAAGUAGAACGCUGAAGAGAGGAGCUUGCUCUUCUUGGAUGAGUUGCGAACGGGUGAGUAACGCGUAGGUAACCUGCCUUGUAGCGGGGGAUAACUAUUGGAAACGAUAGCUAAUACCGCAUAACAAUGGAUGACACAUGUCAUUUAUUUGAAAGGGGCAAUUGCUCCACUACAAGAUGGACCUGCGUUGUAUUAGCUAGUAGGUGAGGUAACGGCUCACCUAGGCGACGAUACAUAGCCGACCUGAGAGGGUGAUCGGCCACACUGGGACUGAGACACGGCCCAGACUCCUACGGGAGGCAGCAGUAGGGAAUCUUCGGCAAUGGGGGCAACCCUGACCGAGCAACGCCGCGUGAGUGAAGAAGGUUUUCGGAUCGUAAAGCUCUGUUGUAAGUCAAGAACGAGUGUGAGAGUGGAAAGUUCACACUGUGACGGUAGCUUACCAGAAAGGGACGGCUAACUACGUGCCAGCAGCCGCGGUAAUACGUAGGUCCCGAGCGUUGUCCGGAUUUAUUGGGCGUAAAGCGAGCGCAGGCGGUUUGAUAAGUCUGAAGUUAAAGGCUGUGGCUCAACCAUAGUUCGCUUUGGAAACUGUCAAACUUGAGUGCAGAAGGGGAGAGUGGAAUUCCAUGUGUAGCGGUGAAAUGCGUAGAUAUAUGGAGGAACACCGGUGGCGAAAGCGGCUCUCUGGUCUGUAACUGACGCUGAGGCUCGAAAGCGUGGGGAGCGAACAGGAUUAGAUACCCUGGUAGUCCACGCCGUAAACGAUGAGUGCUAGGUGUUGGAUCCUUUCCGGGAUUCAGUGCCGCAGCUAACGCAUUAAGCACUCCGCCUGGGGAGUACGACCGCAAGGUUGAAACUCAAAGGAAUUGACGGGGGCCCGCACAAGCGGUGGAGCAUGUGGUUUAAUUCGAAGCAACGCGAAGAACCUUACCAGGUCUUGACAUCCCGAUGCUAUUUCUAGAGAUAGAAAGUUACUUCGGUACAUCGGUGACAGGUGGUGCAUGGUUGUCGUCAGCUCGUGUCGUGAGAUGUUGGGUUAAGUCCCGCAACGAGCGCAACCCCUAUUGUUAGUUGCCAUCAUUCAGUUGGGCACUCUAGCGAGACUGCCGGUAAUAAACCGGAGGAAGGUGGGGAUGACGUCAAAUCAUCAUGCCCCUUAUGACCUGGGCUACACACGUGCUACAAUGGUUGGUACAACGAGUUGCGAGUCGGUGACGGCAAGCUAAUCUCUUAAAGCCAAUCUCAGUUCGGAUUGUAGGCUGCAACUCGCCUACAUGAAGUCGGAAUCGCUAGUAAUCGCGGAUCAGCACGCCGCGGUGAAUACGUUCCCGGGCCUUGUACACACCGCCCGUCACACCACGAGAGUUUGUAACACCCGAAGUCGGUGAGGUAACCUUUUGGAGCCAGCCGCCUAAGGUGGGAUAGAUGAUUGGGGUGAAGUCGUAACAAGGUAACCG